UAAUACGUAGGUGGCAAACGUUGCUCGGAAUCACUGGGCGUAAAGAGUGUGUAGGCGGCUGAGUAAGUCAAAGAUGAAAUCCCGAGGCUCAACCUCGGAAUUGUCUUUGAAACUGUUCAGCUUGAGGAUAGUUGAGGAGAACGGAAUUCCCGAUGGAGCGGUGAAAUGCGUAGAUAUCGGGAGGAACACCGGAGGCGAAGGCGGUUCUCUGGACUAUUCCUGACGCUGAGACACGAAAGCUAGGGGAGCAAACGGGAUUAGAUACCCCGGUAGUCCUAGCCGUAAACGAUGGGCACUAGAUGUUUCUGCUUUUAUGCAGGAGUGUCGAAGCUAACGCGUUAAGUGCCCCGCCUGGGGAGUACGGUCGCAAGGCUG
rnacentral:rRNA from 1 species